rnacentral:lncRNA from 1 species
GAUUAUUGGACACAUUUGUGCAGGACCUGGACUCAUCACAGAGGCGGUGACUAAGCCUGGCUUGGGCACAGUGUAAAGUGGGGCAGCUUGACAAAUCCUGGAGGCAGGACAUAGCUGAACAUUCUGACAUCUAUUAUGAGCAACAUGCCUGUCCCUGCAGGGUCAUGGGGACUGACUGACUAAGGUCCCCUGAGAGGACAUAUUGCGCUCUUCUUCCCACACCAGGAAAGACUGAGACGUAACAAUGCUUGUGGAAGUGAGAGAACAACUGCUAGACAAUUUCCGUGAAGAUUCAGCGAGAGGCUACUUAAAAUGAUGUAACUCAUGGGCGACAGUAGCUUCCGUUCCCUUUGCUUGACACACACCAAACUGCGUACACUGAAGGGAAUCAGAUGUACGACUCUGAGGUCCAGGACAGGCUUCACCCAGCACCUGGAUCCCCUUCAGCAUGCCCUUCACCGGCUUGUAAGUCCUGCGAGGAUGAGAGCAUUGCUGUCCUGAUCAC